UACGUAGGGUGCGAGCGUUGUCCGGAAUUAUUGGGCGUAAAGGGCUCGUAGGCGGUUUGUCGCGUCGGGUGUGAAAACCUUGGGCUUAACUCAGGGCUUGCUUUCGAUACGGGCAGACUAGAGGUAUGCAGGGGAGAACGGAAUUCCUGGUGUAGCGGUGAAAUGCGCAGAUAUCAGGAGGAACACCGGUGGCGAAGGCGGUUCUCUGGGCAUGAUCUGACGCUGAGGAGCGAAAGUGUGGGGAGCGAACAGG
rnacentral:rRNA from 1 species